rnacentral:rRNA from 1 species
AACGAACGCUGGCGGCAGGCUUAACACAUGCAAGUCGAACGGGUGCGAGCAAUCGCAUCAGUGGCAGACGGGUGAGUAACACGUGGGAACCUUCCUAGAGGUACGGAACAACGCAGGGAAACUUGUGCUAAUACCGUAUACGCUCGAGAGAGGAAAGAUUUAUCGCCUGUAGACGGGCCCGCGUCGGAUUAGCUAGUUGGUGAGGUAACGGCUCACCAAGGCGACGAUCCGUAGCUGAUCUGAGAGGAUGAUCAGCCACACUGGAACUGAGACACGGUCCAGACUCCUACGGGAGGCAGCAGUGGGGAAUCUUGGACAAUGGGCGCAAGCCUGAUCCAGCCAUGCCGCGUGAGUGAAGAAGGCCUUCGGGUUGUAAAGCUCUUUUGUCAGGGACGAUAAUGACGGUACCUGAAGAAUAAGCCCCGGCAAACUUCGUGCCAGCAGCCGCCGUAAAAC